rnacentral:lncRNA from 1 species
UUCUUUGUCAUGUAUACCUAUGGACUACCUUACCGACAAGAUCGAACUGCAAGUUCCAUUGCAUGGCGCAUCUACGAGAGGUUUUUAUUGUAUUGAUCUAGGUAGGCAUAAAUUUUGUUGGGAUGAUGAUAUCCAUAUGCUUUAUUUAUACCUAUUAGGAUUAAUUGGGUUAAAUGGACACAUGGUCACUAUCUUAUUUUAUUCCUACUAGUUUUUUAGAUUAGUGGAUACCAUUUACAAAGGUGUGUUUUCUUUUUCUUGCAAGGUCGAAAUUCGAGGACGAAUUUUCUUCAAGAAGAGGGGAAUGAUAGCAUUCUAGGAAAUUCAACUCUAUUCAAAGACAAGGAUGAAGCUUUGGAAUCUCAAAGAUGGCCUUUAACAAUAUGUCAAGCUAAAGAGUUACAAUAUAAGGCCAUUAGACUUCAAAUGCAAAUAAAGAAGCUUUUAAUUGUGGAGGACGAGCUCUAGACCAAAGAAGAUAAAUUAUACAAGUUUUACAAUUAUUUGGUGGCCCAAAUUGAAGUCCAAGAGGAGGAAGAUUGAGUCCAGAACUCGGCUCUUGAAAUCUAGCAAAAGUGCACCCAGAAGAGCCCAAAAUGAGCUUAAAAGAGGUCCAAAUGGGGGUAUUUGAAAUGGAGCCCAAUUGGAGUCCAAACCAAUGGCCCAAACUAGUAGUUUUAAGGCCCAAAUCUGUCCCAAAGGGAUUUGGCCGCCCCUACCUAAUUUUGUGACUUUUCAUAUUUCUUAGCAACCACCCUACCUAAUUUUGAUAACUUUGUUAUCCCUUAGCAGCCCCCUACCUAAUUGUAAUGACUUUUUAUGCCUUAGUACUCCUAUAANNNNNNNNNNNNNNNNNNNNNNNNNCAAGAAGAGGGGAUCCCAGAUUUCAAAGAUAAGACAAAAAUUUAAUUUUCUUACUCUUUCUAAUCUAAAUAUAUAAUCAUUUCCUUUUUGUUCGUGUCUUGUUUCAACCGAGCCUAAUAGUUCUAGGAUUUGGUUCUUCUUUCAUUUGUUCCCCAAAAAUCUAUAUUUUACUACUAAGAACUUUAUAUGAGUUGGGUUUAACCAUAAAUCUACAAAAGUAUUUUGUUCAAAGGUUAUUUCGAAAGGAAAAAAAGGCAAGAGAGGUGAGAGCAUUAUAGGGAAAAACUCAAAUUUGAGAGAUACAUAUUUCUCUUAAUCUAUGUCAAGAUGUCUCAAACAGGUAGUUACAGUGGAAGGAGGAAAGCUAUGACUCAACAACUUAAAAAGUCGAACUUACAGUAUACCAAAUGGAAGGAAGACAAUGGUAAAGUUAUUUUUCAAACAAGAGCUAAAGUGAUGUCUGCAAUUUAUGCCCUUAGAAUUGACAAAGCAUUUGGCUAUAACUUAAUUAGCACUUAUAUGGUUGAGAAAUUGAACUUGCCUUUUGUUGAACAUAUUGAACCCUACAUGUUGAAAGGGGUAAAAGUAGAUAAAAGAGUGUUCUUGCCAUUCUCUAUUGGAAGGUAUGGGGAUGUGAUUUGGUGUGAUGUCAUUCCGAUGAAUAGUUUUCAUAUCUUGUUGGGAUGGCUAUGGUAUGUGUUUAGAAGUGCUUCAUAUAGUAUUGAAAAAAAUACAUAUUCUUUUGAGAUUAAUGGGAAGAAAUUCAUUCUUGGGCCUUUGACUCCCUCACAAAUUUGUGAAGAUGAAAAGAUUGUUAAAGAGAAUAUGAAAAAAUACGAGAGAGAAAAGAAUGAGAGGAGUAAGGGAGUGCAUGUUGACAUUCCAAGAGAGGAAAAAGAAGAUGUUGUCUUGAGUGAAAAGAGUAGGAUGUCAAGUGAGGUAAAGAGUGAUAUUGAAAGAAAAGAAAAGAGAGAAGGUAAUGAGAUGAACAAAGUUUGUGAGGUAGAGAGAGAAAAGCAAGAAGGAGUGAGUGAAAGCAAAGAAAAAUUCUUUAGUGAGAGAAAAGAGGCUAAGGGUGAGGAAAACAUUAGUCUUGUGAUAAAAGCCAAAGAGAGUUUAAGCAAGAAAAAAGUUUCUUUACUUCCGAACCCAUUAACUCUUUUUUGUUUUAGUUCUUGUGAUUUUGUGCAACCACGUGUUGAAAUACCUUUUGAAAGGGAUGGUGAGGCGCAGGAGAUGGUAGCAAAAGAUCCAAUUGGAUUCCAACAUGAAUUUGGCGAUAUCUAUUCUUGUUGGAUGGUGGAAGAUAAAAGCUUGGUUAAAUUCUUUGUUAUUGAACCUUUUGACUAUUUUCAUUCUUAUUUACAGUAUUAUGACAUGGAGUUUCCUAAAAGCAUUGCUAAGUUGGAGUCAUUGCAUAAAAGAAUACAAGGUGAUGAUGUUCCAUUGGUAAAUAAGUCCAAGUAUGGUAUGUAUAAUUGGUUUAUUUGCAUUCUUGGACUUUCUAGAACACCUAAGGUAUUUUUGGAGGUAAUGAAUUAUACUCUUAUUUCUUAUAUUGGUGACUUUAUAAUUUUUGCGGAUGAUGAUAUUUUGAUGCACAUCAAGUCAUUAACUGUAAGAUCUAAGUUAAAGUGCAAGAGUAAUUUUCUUCCUUUUGAAAUUGUUUAUGACAUAAAUGAUUAUGUAUUCCAACUUGGUGGAAAGAGGCAUGAAAUUUCUGAGAAGAGGCUUGUGAAUGAGUUAAAUAUUUCUUCUUCUCUUAUUCAAGUGGCUAAUGAGUUUUCAUGUGAUAAAUUGCUAGAAUGUGAUUUUUGUUGUGUGAUGGGGAGUCAUUCUUCAAGUCAUGUUCAAUGUGAGCUUGUAAAAGUAUUUGUUACUAGUAAAGAUGAUAUGCAUGAUUGUUGUAAUACUUGUGAUCAAAUACUCUUUCAUGUAGAGGAAUCCAUGAGAUUAUUAAUUGUAGAUAGUUGGCUAUAUCAUGAAAGUAUCUUCUUUGAUACAUGUGGUAGAGAUACUUAUAUUAAAUGGAUGUGUGGUCAAUCUUUUAUAAUUUCUUUGUCAUGUAUACCUAUGAACUACCUUACCGACAAGAUCGAAUUGCAAGUUCCAUUGCAUGGCGCAUCUACGAGAGGUUUUUAUUGUAUUGAUCUAGGUAGGCAUAAAUUUUGUUGGGAUGAUGAUAUCCAUAUGCUUUAUUUAUACCUAUUAGGAUUAAUUGGGUUAAAUGAACACAUGGUCACUAUCUUAUUUUAUUCCUACUAGUUUUUCAGAUUAUUGGAUGCCAUUUACAAGGGCGUGUUUUCUUUUUCUUGCAAGGUCGAAAUUCGAGGACGAAUUUUCUUCAAGAAGAGGGGAAUGAUAGCAUCCUAGGAAGCUCAACUCUAUUCAAGGAUAAGGAUGAAGCUUUGGAAUCUCAAAGAUGGCCUUUAACAAUAUGUCAAGCUAAAGAGUUGCAAAAUAAGGCCAUUAGACUUCAUGUGCAAAUAAAAAAGCUUUUAAUUGUGGAGGACGAGCUCAAGACCAAAGGAGAUAAUUUAUACAAGUUUUACAAUUAUUUGGUGGCCCAAAUUGAUGUCCAAGAGGAGGAAGAUUGAGUCCCGAACUCGGCCCUUGAAAUUUAGCAAAAGGGCACCCAGAAGAGCCCAAAAUGAGCUUAAAAGAGGUCCAAAUGGGGGGUGUUUGAAAUGGAGCCCAACUGGAGUCCAAACCAAUGGCCCAAACUAGUAGUUUUAAGGCCUAAAUCUGUCCCAAAGGGAUUUGGCCACCCCUACCUAAUUUUGUGACUUUUAUUAUUUCUUAGCAACCACCCUACCUAAUUUUGAUGACUUUGUUACCCCUUAG